rnacentral:rRNA from 1 species
UGGGGAAUAUUGGGCAAUGGGCGCAAGCCUGACCCAGCAACGCCGCGUGAAGGAAGAAGGCUUUCGGGUUGUAAACUUCUUUUAAGAGGGGAGAGCAGAAGACGGUACCUCUUGAAUAAGCCACGGCUAACUACGUGCC